rnacentral:rRNA from 1 species
CCUACGGGAGGCAGCAGUGGGGAAUAUUGGGCAAUGGGCGAAAGCCUGACCCAGCAAAGCAGCGUGAAGGAAGAAGGCUUUCGGGUUGUAAACUUCUUUUGACAGGGAAGAGCAGCAGACGGUACCUGUCGAAUAAGCCACGGCUAACUACGUGCCAGCAGCCGCGGGAAUACGUAGGUGGCAAGCGUUGUCCGGAUUUACUGGGUGUAAAGGGCGUGUAGCCGGGCUGACAAGUCAGAUGUGAAAUCCGGGGGCUCAACCCCCGAACUGCAGUGGAAACUGUUGGUCUUGAGUAUCGGGGAGGCAGGCGGAAUUCGUAGUGUAGCGGUGAAAUGCGUAGAUAUUACGAAGAACACCAGUGGCGAAGGCAGCCUGCUGGACGACAACUGACGGUGAGGCGCGAAAGCGUGGGGAGCGAACAGGAUUAGAUACCCUAGUAGUC